rnacentral:rRNA from 1 species
CAGUCGCCGCGGUAAUACAGAGGGUGCAAGCGUUAAUCGGAAUUACUGGGCGUAAAGCGCGCGUAGGUGGUUUGUUAAGUUGGAUGUGAAAUCCCCGGGCUCAACCUAGGAACUGCAUCCAAAACUGGCAAGCUAGAGUAUGGUAGAGGGUGGUGGAAUUUCCUGUGUAGCGGUGAAAUGCGUAGAUAUAGGAAGGAACACCAGUGGCGAAGGCGACCACCUGGACUGAUACUGACACUGAGGUGCGAAAGCGUGGGGAGCAAACAGGAUUAGAUACCCCAGUAGUCCCUGUCUCUUAUAC